AACGAACGCUGGCGGCAGGCCUAACACAUGCAAGUCGAGCGCCCCGCAAGGGGAGCGGCGGACGGGUGAGUAACACGUGGGAAUUUUCCUCAAGGUACGGAACAACUCAGGGAAACUUGGGCUAAUACCGUAUGAUGCAGAGAUGCCAAAGAUUUAUCGCCUUGGGAUAAGCCCGCGUCAGAUUAGGUAGUUGGUGGGGUAAUGGCCUACCAAGCCUGUGAUCUGUAGCUGGUCUGAGAGGACGAUCAGCCACAUUGGGACUGAGACACGGCCCAAACUCCUACGGGAGGCAGCAGUGGGGAAUCUUGCGCAAUGGACGAAAGUCUGACGCAGCCAUGCCGCGUGAAUGAUGAAGGUCUUAGGAUUGUAAAGUUCUUUAGCCUGUGACGAUGAUGACGGUAACAGGAGAAUAAGCCCCGGCUAACUUCGUGCCAGCAGCCGCGGUAAGGCACGACUGU
rnacentral:rRNA from 1 species